CAGUAGCCGCGGUAAUACGAAGGGGGCUAGCGUUGUUCGGAUUUACUGAGCGUAAUGCGCACGUAGGCGGAUCGAUCAGUCAGGGGUGAAAUCCUGGAGCUCAACUCCAGAACUGCCUUUGAUACUGUCGAUCUCGAGUCCGGAAGAGGUGAGUGGAACUCCUAGUGUAGAGGUGGAAUUCGUAGAUAUUCGGAAGAACUCCAGUGGCGAAGGCGGCUCACUGGCUCAUUCUAGACGCUGAGGUGCGAAAGCGUGGGGAGCAAACAGGAUUAGAUACCCCAGUAGUCCCUGUCUCUUAUAC
rnacentral:rRNA from 1 species